AGAGCGAACGCUGGCGGCAGGCCUAACACAUGCAAGUCGAACGGACCCUUCGGGGUUAGUGGCGGACGGGUGAGUAACACGUGGGAACGUGCCUUUUGGUUCGGAAUAGCUCCUGGAAACGGGUGGUAAUGCCGAAUGUGCCCUUCGGGGGAAAGAUUUAUCGCCAUUAGAGCGGCCCGCGUCUGAUUAGCUAGUUGGUGAGGUAAUGGCUCACCAAGGCGACGAUCAGUAGCUGGUCUGAGAGGAUGACCAGCCACAUUGGGACUGAGACACGGCCCAAACUCCUACGGGAGGCAGCAGUGGGGAAUCUUGCGCAAUGGGCGAAAGCCUGACGCAGCCAUGCCGCGUGAAUGAUGAAGGUCUUAGGAUUGUAAAAUUCUUUCACCGGGACGAUAAUGACGGUACCCGGAGAAGAAGCCCCGGCUAACUUCGUGCCAGCAGCCGC
rnacentral:rRNA from 1 species